UUUUAGCUGGAUAUAAGACCGUAUGCAAUCCCAGCUGAAGAACUUUGCUAAACAGCGUAAUAUAUUGGGUUAUAGAGAUUUGGCAGUAACAGACAAUAGAGGGAAGUGACCAUAAAGCACUUAACUUCGGAUGGACAUAAAAACGAUUAAUAACUGUC